rnacentral:rRNA from 1 species
GACGAACGCUGGCGGCGUGCCCAAUACAUGCAAGUCGAGCGCAGGAAACUGACGGAACUCUUCGGAGGGAAGGCAGUGGAAUGAGCGGCGGACGGGUGAGUAACACGUAAGGAACCUGCCUCAAGGAUUGGGAUAACUCCGAGAAAUCGGAGCUAAUACCGGAUAGUUCAACGGACCGCAUGGUCCGCUGAUGAAAGGCGCUCCGGCGUCACCUUGAGAUGGCCUUGCGGUGCAUUAGCUAGUUGGUGGGGAAACGGCCCACCAAGGCGACGAUGCAUAGCCGACCUGAGAGGGUGAUCGGCCACACUGGGACUGAGACACGGCCCAGACUCCUACGGGAGGCAGCAGUAGGGAAUCUUCCACAAUGGACGAAAGUCUGAUGGAGCAACGCCGCGUGAGUGAUGAAGGUUUUCGGAUCGUAAAACUCUGUUGUAAGGGAAGAACACGUACGAGAGGGAAUGCUCGUACCUUGACGGUACCUUACGAGAAAGCCACGGCUAACUACGUGCCAGCAGCCGCGGUAAGAC